UGAAAUGUCAAAAUCUGCUGUUUUCCCAAGAGUUCCUGUUUGGCUUUCAUAAACAUUUAAUAGCAACUUGUACUUCUAAUAGAAAGUUUUAUAUGAAAAAAUGAUUAAUUACUAAUUUCAAAUACUUGGAUUAGCUUUUCCACUUAUAUCUUGUUAGUCAUUCAGGCAUCCUUUGAUGUUGUUAUUGGGCACUUUUGACCAAAGAUGCUGUAUCCAAUCUUUUUAUAAUAUUUAAGCAAGAAGCAAAGUCAAAGAGUGAAUAUUAAUUAGUAAAAUGCAUAUUGUAACAUACAGAUUCACAUUCUCAUUGUUAGUAGUGCAAAAAAUAUUUUUUCCUCUCAGUGAAAGUAGUAGUGUAGGUUCAAAAAGGUGACUGUCCAUUAGGGGAUGAGUCAAGGCUGUGAUGAUGCAGGCCCUGCUUGUUUUGCUAUAAGAGACUCUUCUUGUUUCAUCAGACUUUGGGGGAGCAAGCAGAUUUGGUACAGCUGUGCUGCUGCCUAAUGAAUUGCUGUGUGUAUUAGGUGGACCUGCCCAGGUCUUAGGGUGGUAAAACAUCCAGGUGAGUUAAAUAUCAGCACCUUGGAGCUUUCCUUGUGAGGUGCCCAGGCAUGACUGAUUAGGAGGAGCUGCUGCUGUCAGGACAGUUAUGCAGGUAGAGGCCCUGUCCUCCCUCCCUGGCCAAGUGGGGAAGCCCCUGAAAAGUGAGCUGGUCUAGGCUGAGAAUGGUGACCAGGUUCAGCCACAGAUCAGACAUCGCUAGUAAAUGCCAGGAGAGUGUCUGUGUCUCAGCCACACCAGCACCACCACAUCCAUGCCCUCAGGCAAUGCCAGAGGAGAGUGAUCCGGGCUAUGAUGUGUGCUGCAAGAGCAGAAGUGUUGUUAAAAAAAUGCAAACCCCUCCACUUGCCAAGAUGCAUGUGUACUUAGCUAUUUACAGCUUUAAAUGAGAAAAUAAGCCUUCUUAGAAUUCUGAAAAUGUUGAAUUUGUUUUUCCCAGCUGGAGAGUGGGGUUUGCUUCAUUUUACAAAUAUGCCUAUGUCAGAAUGUUCUUCAGCAUUUUGCCAGGAAUAUGUGCUGCACGCUAUGGAGUUCAAUGGAAGGAAAGGGGAUUGACUGACUCUCCCUUUGGCAACUGCUGCAUCCACCUGAUGAUUGAAAUAGACCUGGUGAUUUUAGGACACGAUUAUUCCUGUGGAGAGAAAAGAAGAACAGAUGAUUAAACAGUGAAUCCUAAGAUUUCUCCGUUCCUCUUUUUUUAUAUAUUCCUAACAGUUGCACAUGAAAGGUGACCUUCCUUCUGAAAUUUUUCUGCAUCAUAUACCUAGGGCUGCUAUUUGAAUUCAUAUGAGUUCAGAUGACCAUCAUGCACAGAGAAAAUGACAACUUGUUCCACAAUUUGAGUAUUGGGGAUUUCAGUUUUCUGUUUAGAUUUUUUUUUCCCAGUAAAAAAUAGAAUACAGAAAACCAGGACAUAUUAAAGAAAUGGAAUUUCUUUCAAACUGACCACCUUUAUUUCUAUUGCUUCCCUGUAUGUAUGCAAAAAUGGUAAUAGGGAAUCAUCACUAAUGAAAAAAAUAAAUACAUAGUUAAAAUUACUUUUCCCA
ensembl:lncRNA